CAUCGACGGGGCUUACAAGCAACGCGUAUGGAACGAGAUAUCGCAAAAGCUCGGAUACCCAGAACCCGGAGGCGCUCUGUCAGAUUAACGUGGAGGCUAUUCCGGACAGCCUGAUAUUUCCGAAAUCCGCCAGCGGCGGCAACGGCCACACACGGACAGCGUCAUCGCGUGCGUAGUAACAGUGCGUGCGUGCUCAACGCACCGUCUCGUAUACGGGGUGUCUCAGAGCCAUCGGAUACUUUUUUCAAUUACAAUUCAGAAGCGAAUCUCAGAUUUACUCCCGAUAAAAACUUCGCGUAAAAUUGUCAUUUUGUUCCCAUCGUAAGUAUCUCGCUACGAAUUCAAUGCGAGUAACGAGAUUUCAAUUUAUGUAAACUCGGACCGAAUCUUCGUAUUUUAAUUUUUCACUUUUCAAGUCUCAUUAAUUCUUAAAAUUUUAUUAGUAUCUCGUCGAAGGAAAGAUUCUUUCCUGAGGAAAAAUUCAAAUUUGUCGAUUAACCCGAACACCCGGUAUAGCGCGACGCACCUUCCCUUCACCCCUCCCCUCCCCGUACUCCCGGUUAUGGUCUGAUACCGCUCCUCUCUCGCACCCGAUGCUAACGUGGUGUCUCUCUCUUCCGAGGCUCAGCUUGCAGCACGUGACGUCACGGCCGCGUACGAGAAAACGAGAGAGCGACGCAACCGAGGCUCGACAAAGCCGGGUUACACGAGGAAGGAACGCGCGCAAGACGUCUGCGCAGCUCCAGCAUGCCAGUGCUGGAGACACGUGGGAGCCGCUCGUUUGCAAAUCACGAAUGCUCCUUCUUGCUCGUUUUCUUUCACUGCAAGAACAAGAAUGUAACGCGAGAACGGUCACGUUUUCCCUGUCUAUUCCGGGACUCGACACAAAGACGUUCAUUUAGUUGUUAUGCGGUUUCGUAAGCUAUAAACUGUUAACUUAAAAAAUAUUUCGUAAAUAAUGUCGACAAUGUAAUCUAUAUAUUUGUAAAGAAUUCAUCUUUGAGACAUAGGCGAUAAACCGACCGAGUCUUGUUCUCCUAGACAAAAUAAGAAUAAAUAUUUAUCUUUCUCUAAUGAAAAUUGAUAAUACAAUCUGAAUGUAAGACAAAGACAGUUAAGCUCUCUCAUCAUUAUCUAGCAGCGAUUCUGGCGUCUCCCUUGUCAUUAACAAUCUUUCGGCAGGUGCGCGAGUCGUCAGAGGGCCCACCUAAACCCAGCCCUGAGAGAGAUGUUCGACAUUUCUUUUUUCCCUCCUCUCGCGUUCGCCUCUCCUCUCUUUUUCCGACUGUAUUGUCCAUCUCUUUCGCUCGGCCUGUUUACAAACACGAGUAAACUCGGCCGAAUAUAUGACAUCACCGCGCAAGCUCGCACAGCACGCAGCACCGGAAGAAGGGCGACGGCAACGACGACAACGACGACGACGACGACGACGACGGAGUCGGCGUUGACGACGAAAGAGGCUUGCUCUCGCGAUUAUCGAUCCGCGAGAGAACGCGACCCCGGCCACCGUACUUUCGUUUUCUCACGUUUCGCGCACCUCCGCGACAGGCAAUGAACACGCGACACGCGCGCGCGCAGCGGCCGAUCCGCGGGGGACGAAAAUAUCACGGAGAAACAUUCUGCAGCUUCCCUUUGAAAUAAUUUAAUUCGCGCGCAUACG
rnacentral:misc_RNA from 1 species